UAAGUCGGUGGUGAAAUCCCAGAGCUCAACUCUGGAACUGCCAUUGAAACUGAAGAACUUGAAUAUGGUUGAGGUAGGCGGAAUACGUUAUGUAGCGGUGAAAUGCAUAGAUAUAACGUAGAACACCAAUUGCGAAGGCAGCUUACUAAGCCAUUAUUGACGCUGAUGGACGAAAGCGUGGGGAGCGAACAGGAUUAGAUACCCUGGUAGUCCACGCCGUAAACGAUGAUUACUCGUUGUGCACAAUACAUCGUGCGUGACUGAGCGAAAGCAUUAAGUAAUCCACCUGGGGAGUACGUUCGCAAGAAUGAAACUCAAAGGAAUUGACGGGGGCCCGCACAAGCGGAGGAACAUGUGGUUUAAUUCGAUGAUACGCGAGGAACCUUACC
rnacentral:rRNA from 1 species